UAGGGAAUCUUCCACAAUGGACGCAAGUCUGAUGGAGCAACGCCGCGUGAGUGAAGAAGGUCUUCGGAUCGUAAAGCUCUGUUGUUGGUGAAGAAGGAUAGAGGCAGUAACUGGUCUUUAUUUGACGGUAAUCAACCAGAAAGUCACGGCUAACUACGUGCCAGCAGCCGCGGUAAUACGUAGGUGGCAAGCGUUGUCCGGAUUUAUUGGGCGUAAAGCGAGCGCAGGCGGAAUGAUAAGUCUGAUGUGAAAGCCCACGGCUCAACCGUGGAACUGCAUCGGAAACUGUCAUUCUUGAGUGCAGAAGAGGAGAGUGGAACUCCAUGUGUAGCGGUGGAAUGCGUAGAUAUAUGGAAGAACACCAGUGGCGAAGGCGGCUCUCUGGUCUGCAACUGACGCUGAGGCUCGAAAGCAUGGGUAGCGAACAGGAUUAGAUACCCUGGUAGUCCAUGCCGUAAACGAUGAGCGCUAGGUGUUGGGGACUUUCCGGUCCUCAGUGCCGCAGCAAACGCAUUAAGCGCUCCGCCU
rnacentral:rRNA from 1 species